GACGAACGCUGGCGGCGUGCCUAAUACAUGCAAGUCGAACGCUGAAGGAGGAGCUUGCUCUUCUGGAUGAGUUGCGAACGGGUGAGUAACGCGUAGGUAACCUGCCUGGUAGCGGGGGAUAACUAUUGGAAACGAUAGCUAAUACCGCAUAACAGUAGAUGUUGCAUGACAUUUGCUUAAAAGGUGCAAUUGCACCACUACCAGAUGGCCCUGCGUUGUAUUAGCUAGUUGGUGGGGUAACGGCUCACCAAGGCGACGAUACAUAGCCGACCUGAGAGGGGGAUCGGCGACACUGGGACUGAGACACGGCCCAGACUCCUACGGGAGGCAGCAGGAGGGAAUCUUCGGCAAUGGACGGAAGUCUGACCGAGCAACGCCGCGUGAGUGAAGAAGGGUGUCGGAUCGUAAAGCUCGGUUGUAAGAGAAGAACGAGUGUGAGAGUGGAAAGUUCACACUGUGACGGUAGCUUACCAGAAAGGGACGGCUAACUACGUG
rnacentral:rRNA from 1 species